rnacentral:rRNA from 1 species
GCGCAGCAGUCGCGAAUUUUUCACAAUGGGGGAAACCCUGAUGGAGCGACGCCGCGUGGAGGAUGAAGGCCUUUUGGUCGUAAACUCCUGUCAAACGGGAACAAGAAAGUGAUAGUACCGUUAGAGGAAGAGACGGCUAACUCUGUGCCAGCAGCCGCGGUGAUACAGAGGUCUCAAGCGUUGUUCGGAUUCAUUGGGCGUAAAGGGUGCGUAGGUGGCAUGGUAAGUUGAAGGUGAAAUCUCGGAGCUUAACUCCGAAACUGCCUUCAAUACUGCUGUGCUUGAGGACUGUAGAGGAGAAUGGAAUUCAUGGUGUAGCAGUGAAAUGCGUAGAUAUCAUGAGGAAGACCAGUGGCGAAGGCGAUUCUCUGGGCAGUUCCUGACACUGAGGCACGAAGGCUAGGGGAGCAAACGGGAUUAGAUACCCCCGUAGU